CCCAUCUGCCUAACUCUGGAAUUGACAAGACUCUAUGAAUGAACUGAUAAAGAGAUUGAAAAGCUUUCACAUGAAGAGGUGGAAAAGAGACUCAUACACAUACAAGUAAAUGCAUGCCAAUGUUUCUGAAAAUCAAGAUUGUGAAGAUAUGUAAUUUUACAUAAAAACUUCAGGCUUUCUAUAGAACAAAAAUAUAUUGAACAACUCAUAAAACAAAUUAUGUAACUAGGGAAAGAAUAGCUUUUACAAGUAACUGCUGUAAAUUAUAUUUUGGUUUUUUUUCAUGCUCUCACAAAAACAUGUAGUUUGAAAAAUAUGUAUUAUAUCUGGAGACAAUUUGACAUUAUGUGAAAGACUGAG
rnacentral:lncRNA from 1 species